GUUUAGAAGGUCACAACAAACCCAAGGAUAUUCUGCAGUGGAACAAAAUUUCACCGCUGGUAGUUCAUCACUGUCGCCAUGGCUCAAGAAAGUAACCAAAAACCAUCCACUUAUAAACCACCACCACCUACAUCGACCUACACACCUGCACCCCCAUCCACACCCACACCUGCGACCCACAGCUGGGUGCAGGAGCAAGCCUUGGAUAUGCAGAGAGGGAAACCGUCGACCGAAGGCUCAAAUGCGGUGCUGUAGAAAUAAGUGCGUUGACGUGUCUUCUAAUGUUAAUCACUGUGGUUUAUGUGGAGUUAAAUGCCCCUUUAGUUGGCUAUGUUGCCAUGGAUUUUGUGUGGAUGUCAAUAUUAGCCCCUUCAAUUGUGGCAAAUGUGGGAGCAAAUGCCCCUGGGGGAUCCGCUGUGAUUAUGGGAUGUGUGGAUAUUCUGAGCCUGAACCUUUGUCUCUGCCUCCAUGGCGUCCACGUCCUCAUCCUCGCCCUCGUUCUUGAUUCAUUCCCAUUUCCUCCUAAUCUGCCCAGGCCAUGGCUUAUUGUUUAAUGUUUUAGGAUAUAUUUAAAAGAAAAAUGUUGGGUUGUGUCUUCUAAUAUAA
rnacentral:misc_RNA from 1 species